rnacentral:rRNA from 1 species
UUCAGGGAAAAACUGUUUUAAACUUAAAAAUUAAAUUUAUUUUAAUUUGUGAAGAAACAAUUAUUUAAAUUAAGGACAAGAAGACCCUAAGAAUUUUAAAGAUAAUAAUUUUAAUAUUAAAAUUAUUAUCUUUUGGUUGGGGCAACUAAAAAAGAUUAUAAACUUUUUAUUUAAUAAAAUGACCCAUUAUUAAUGAUAGUUUGAUAAAAAUACUCUAGGGAUAACAGCGUAAUAAUUUUUGAUAGAACAUAUAGACAAAAUAGUUUGCGACCUCGAUGUUGGAUUAGGAUACUUUUUUAAUGAAGAUGUUAAAAAAAGAAGUUUGUUCAACUUUUAAAGUCCU